rnacentral:rRNA from 1 species
AGCUCCAAUAGCGUAUAUUAAUGUUGUUGCAGUUAAAAAGCUCGUAGUUGGAUUUCUGACAAGAGCGGCCGGUCCGAGCCUUUCGGGUUCGAGUACUUUGUGUUGUCUCUAGUCAUCCUUAUGGAGAACGUGUGUGGCAUUAACUUGUCGUGCUCGGGACCCAUAUCGUUUACUGUGAAAAAAUUAGAGUGUUCAAAGCAGGCAAUCGCUGUGAAUACAUUAGCAUGGAAUAAUAAGAUAGGACUUUGGUACUAUUUUGUUGGUUUGCAUACCAAGGUAAUGAUUAAGAGGGACAGUUGGGGGUAUUCGUAUUUAUAUGUCAGAGGUGAAAUUCUUGGAUUUUAGAAAGACGAACUACUGCGAAAGCAUUUACCAAGGAUGUUUUCAUUA